GGUUUGGCAUAUCGUAGGCACCUAGUCGCUCUUUAUUGAAUGGGAAAAUAAAGGGAUAUACCCAAGCAUAUCAGCUUCAGGUCUUCCGAUGACGAAUGGGAUGGCCAACACUUCAGAACCCUCUAAGGUGCUAAUGGCAGAGAAAAACACCUGCUUUUCACAACGGAGAUGCGUUUUAAACAAAAGGUCUGUUCUGGGAGCUCCACAAGGAAGCAUCCACCAGGCCUAAGAAAGUCUGCAUCCAGGGAUCACCCUUCCGGAGUGGAUCUCACCGACUAGCAAGAACUGAUUGUGUGCAUGUCUUCCCAACUCCACAUUAGCGAUGUCGGAUCAGUUGAUCAAAAUCAGCCACACCAGGCCCUGUGCCCACACUCCGAUGUUGGAGGUUCUCAUUGUGGUCAUCUCCUCCAACGUGUUAAGACUACAGGUCCUACAGAAAUCAUCUCAAAGCCUGUUAAGAACUCAUAGGUGUUUUUUUCUGGGCUAUGCAAAUAAAAUAUUCAUAUAUAUGCAAAGAUUCUUGACUAUCAAUGUAUUUUAUUAACUUAUUAAAAUUAUUAACUGUGCCAGAUGGAUACUAGGGAAGCUCCCAAUGUAAUUAUAGGUCUAGAGCCAUAGUGUUCCAUUCCAAAUGAAUCCCAUGCAAAGCAUAUUUGUGCACUCAAAUAUUUCCAUGAUUAUACACAUCUUCCUUUAUCACAAGCUGCUUUGAUUGUGUUGCAGUGAGUGAUAUGGAGUGUGUAUGGGUUUGUGUGUGUACACACACAAUAAGGCAUAACAUGUUGUACUAAAUAGAACAUGGCUUUUGGACUGUGGUAGAUCCGUGUUUAAACUCCAUUUCCACUACUCAUUAACUCUGUGACCCUGAGCAAUUGACUUAAUCUCCCUAAGGUUCAGUUUUACUAAUUUUAAAAUGGGGUUUGGAGGACUUAAGCACAAACAGAGCAUCCAAAAAAAAUUGCAGUGAUGCUGUUAAUAUUCCAAAUAUAAGGAAGCAUUAUGUUAAAUAUUACAGACGAACAUUAUUAACACAUAGGUUUUAGGAGAGCUGUUGAAAAACAGUUGCUCAGAUAUUUUGAUAGUGAAGACCACAGAGCUAGCCAAAAAUUUUCCGCUACUCAAGGGAAAAAAGGAGGCAACUUAUAAGAAGAGUUAUUACUUCAUCAGCCCUUUCCGAUUCAGUCAUUGGGAGUUAACAGUAAAAACAGUAUUGAUUUAUCAUGUUUACUGAAACUCACCCAGCAGGGAUCCUCCAGGGCCUGUUAUCUUUCCAGGAGAAAGU
rnacentral:lncRNA from 1 species